AUUGAACGCUGGCGGCAUGCUUUACACAUGCAAGUCGAACGGUAACAGGGUGCUUGCACCGCUGACGAGUGGCGAACGGGUGAGUAAUACAUCGGAAUGUACCCAGUAAUGGGGGAUAACGCUUCGAAAGGAGUGCUAAUACCGCAUACGCCCUGAGGGGGAAAGUGGGGGACCGCAAGGCCUCACGUUAUUGGAGCAGCCGAUGGCUGAUUAGCUAGUUGGUAAGGUAAAGGCUCACCAAGGCGACGAUCAGUAGCGGGUCUGAGAGGAUGAUCCGCCACACUGGGACUGAGACACGGCCCAGACUCCUACGGGAGGCAGCAGUGGGGAAUUUUGGACAAUGGGCGCAAGCCUGAUCCAGCCAUGCCGCGUGUCUGAAGAAGGCCUUCGGGUUGUAAAGGACUUUUGUCCGGGAGCAAAUGCUGGUGGCUAACAUCCACCGGAGCUGAGAGUACCGGAAGAAUAAGCACCGGCUAACUACGUGCCAGCAGCCGCCGCAGUAA
rnacentral:rRNA from 1 species